rnacentral:rRNA from 1 species
UACGUAGGGUGCGAGCGUUAAUCGGAAUUACUGGGCGUAAAGCGUGCGUAGGUGGUGAGUUAAGUCUGUCGUGAAAGCCCCGGGCUCAACCCGGGAAUGGCGAUGGAUACUGGCUCGCUAGAGUGCGGUAGAGGAGAGUGGAAUUCCCGGUGUAGCAGUGAAAUGCGUAGAGAUCGGGAGGAACAUCAGUUGCGAAGGCGGCUCUCUGGACCAGCACUGACACUGAGGCACGAAAGCGUGGGGAGCAAACAGG